AAAGCUUCUAUCCACAUAACAGGCAGAUUGUCCAGAUGUCCCACGCAAGGGCCUGGAAGAGAUGAGGUUGCAGGCAGACCAAGGAGAAGGUGGAGGAAGGGAGGGGAGGAAGUACUGAAACAGAGCUCUUAGAAAGAUGUUCACUGCUGGGCAACACCAUCACCUCCUCUAGAAGGCAUGGAUAGCACCAAUUGAAUACAAGGAUGUGGUCAACUAUACUGUUCUUACCGUUGAAAAAGAAGUGCUGAGGCCAGGCAUGGUGGCUCACACCUGUAAUCCCAGCACUUUGGGAUGCCGAGGCAGCUGGAUCACUUGUGGUCAAGAGUUCAAGACCAGAUUGGGCGACAUGAUGAAACCCCGUCUCUACUACAAAUACGAAAAUUAGCCAUUGUGGUGGCACACGCCUGUAAUCCCAGCUACUCAGGAGGCUGAUGUGGGAGAACUGAACCCUGGAGGUGGAGAUUGCAGUGAGCCAAGAUGGCGCUACUGUGCUCCAGCCUGGGCAACAAAGCAACACUAUGUUUUAAAUAAAUAAAUAAGUGCUGAGAUCUCAGAAAAUACAAUGCCUAGCUUCAGAAUACCAUAUAUUAUAUAUUCAUAUGGCUAUAAUGAUUCCCCACCUGUUUAUCUGUCCUAAUGCAAGGAGCUUCCUUUCAUAGUGAUGCCAGGCACUGCUCUAAGUAAUUUUAUGUAUCCUAACUUAUUAAAUCUCCUCAACCACCCUAAAAUAAGUACCUUUAUAAACUCCAUUUUACAGAAAAGGAAACAACUGAGUUUCCAAGAGUUUAAGUAAUUCAAGAUCUACACAGCUAAUAAUUGUGAAACUGGGACUUGAACCCGUGUACUAUGACUCUCAAAUCCUGGCUCUUACCAAUCCUGGGCUACCACCUACUACACACAUUUAUUUCACACCGUGUCCCUGAAGUCCCCUCAGCAUGAUAGUAAUUUGUCUUCUCACAUUUUUUCUUUAAAAAAAAAAACAAAACAAAAAAACUAGAGUAGUAAAGCUGUCAAUGCAUGACUAUGCUAAGGCAUAAGGGAUACAAAAAAAUGCCUUCAAGUUUCCUAUUUUAAAGUCUUUUGAGAUUUAAAGGCUUUUAGAUGCCAGUGGAGAUUGUAAGAAUAA
rnacentral:lncRNA from 1 species